GGAUGAAGAACGUAGCGAAAUGCGAUACUUGGUGUGAAUUGCAGGAUCCCGUGAACCACCGAGUCUUUGAACGCAAGUUGCGCCCGGAGCCUUCUGGCCGAGGGCACGUCUGCCUGGGCGUCACGCAUCGUUGUCCCCACCCACACAACUCCCCCGCCCACCGUGCGGGCUCGUUGUGCGGGCGAGGGCACACACUGGCCUACCGUGCGCACCGUCGUGCGGAUGGCUUAAAUUCGAGUCCUCGACGCUCGUCGUCGCGACACUACGGUGGUUGAUCCAACCUCGGUGACGCGUCUCGGCCUCGACGUCGCCUCCACGGACUCCUGCAUGACCCUCCGAACGUCGCCCCCGCAAAGGGACGACACUCUCGACGCGACCCCAGGUCAGGCGGGACUACCCGCUGAGUUUAAGCAUAUCAAUAAGCGGAGGA
rnacentral:misc_RNA from 1 species